rnacentral:rRNA from 1 species
GAUGAACGCUGGCGGCGUGCCUAAUACACGCAAGUCGAGCGAAUGGAUUAAGAGCUUGCUCUUUGAAGUUAGCGGCGGACGGGUGAGUAACACGUGGGUAACCUGCCCAUAAGACUGGGAUAACUCCGGGAAACCGGGGCUAAUACCGGAUAACAUUUUGAACCGCAUGGUUCGAAAUUGAAAGGCGGCUUCGGCUGUCACUUAUGGAUGGACCCGCGUCGCAUUAGCUAGUUGGUGAGGUAACGGCUCACCAAGGCGACGACGGGUAGCCGGGCUGAGAAGGUGAACGGGCACACUGGGACUGAGACACGGCCCAGACUCCUACGGGAGGCAGCAGUAGGGAAUCUUCCGCAAUGGACGAAAGUCUGACGGAGCAACGCCGCGUGAGUGAUGAAGGCUUUCGGGUCGUAAAACUCUGUUGUUAGGGAAGAACAAGUGCUAGUUGAAUAAGCUGGCACCUUGACGGUACCUAACCAGAAAGCCACGGCUAACUACGUGCCAGCAGCCGCCGUAA